GUGCUCGCUUCGACAGCACAUAUACUAACAUUGGAACAACAUGGAGAAGAUUUGGUGGCCCCUGCACAAGGGUGACACACAAAUUCGUGAAGCUUCCAUGUUUUUA